CCUACGGGAGGCAGCAGUGAGGAAUAUUGGUCAAUGGACGAGAGUCUGAACCAGCCAAGUAGCGUGAAGGAUGACUGCCCUAUGGGUUGUAAACUUCUUUUAUAUGGGAAUAAAACGUUCCACGUGUGGGAUUUUGUAUGUACCAUAUGAAUAAGGAUCGGCUAACUCCGUGCCAGCAGCCGCGGUAAUACGGAGGAUCCGAGCGUUAUCCGGAUUUAUUGGGUUUGAAGGGAGCGUAGGUGGAUUGUUAAGUCAGUUGUGAAAGUUUGCGGCUCAACCGUAAAAUUGCAGUUGAAACUGGCAGUCUUGAGUACAGUAGAGGUGGGCGGAAUUCGUGGUGUAGCGGUGAAAUGCUUAGAUAUCACGAAGAACUCCGAUUGCGAAGGCAGUUCACUGGACUGCAACUGACACUGAGGCUCGAAAGUGUGGGUAUCAAACAGGAUUAGAUACCCAGUC
rnacentral:rRNA from 1 species